ACGUGGGCGGUUCGCCGCCGAUGACGUCGCGAGAAGUCCACUGAACCUUAUCAUUUAGAGGAAGGAGAAGUCGUAACAAGGUUUCCGUAGGUGAACCUGCGGAAGGAUCAUUG
rnacentral:rRNA from 1 species